CUAUUUGGCCAUAAAAAGAAUGAGAUCCUCUCAUUUGCAACAAUAUAGAUGGAACUGGAGAUCAUUAUGUUAUAAAGUGAAAUAAACCAAAUACAGAAAGAGAAACUUCACAUGUUCUCACUUCUUUGUGGAAAAUUAAAACAAUCAAAUUCAUGGAGAUACAGAGUAGAAGGAUCGUUACCAGAGGCUGGGAAGGGUAAGUGGAGGUUUGGGGAGGAGGCAAGGAUGGUUAAUGGGUACAAAAAUACAGUUAGAAAGAUGAAAUAUGCCCUUUGAUUUGACAGUACAACAGGGUGACUAUAGUCAAUAAAUUGUACAUUAAAAAUUACUAAAAGAGUAUAAUUGGAUUGUUUGUAAAAAAGCAUAGAAACCCUGUCUCUACUAAAAAUACAGACAUUGCAUGUCUGUAUCAAAACAUCUCAUGUGCCCCAUAAAUACCUAUUAUGUACCCACAGAUAUUAACAAUUAAAUGAGUGAAAAAAAUUUAUAAGCUAUCAUCGUACCUAAGGUAACCUACAUUUUCUCCUAUGAUAUAUUCCAGGACAUUUCUAGUUUGCAUUUUACUUUUAGGUCUAUGAUCCCUUUGAAUAAUUUUUUUUUUUUUUUUGAGACAGAAUCUCACCCUGUCACCCAGGCUGGAGUGCAGUGGCGUGAUCUUGUCUCACCUCCGCCUCCCAGGUUCAAGCAAUUCUCCUGCCUCAGCCUCCCGAGUAGCUGGGAUCACAGGUGCUCGCCAUCAUGCCCAGCUAAUUUUGUAUUUUUAGUAGAGACAGGGUUUCACCAUGUUGGCCAGGCUGGUCUCGAACUCCUGACCUCAAGUGAUCCACCUGCCUUGGCUUCCCAAAGUGCUGGGAUUACAGGCAUGAGCCACCGCGCCCAGCUCCUUUUCAUUAAUUUCUGUUUAGGGUGUAGGGUCUGUUUGAUUUCUUUUGCACAUGCGGACAUCUAGUUGUCCCAGCACCAUUGUGGGACCAUUUUCUGCAUUGUGGUGCCUUUGAAUCUUCUCAGAAGAUGAGUUGACUAUAUUUAUAUGGGUCUAUUUCUGGGUCCCCUAAUCUGUUCUAUUAUUUGUCUCUCCUUUUACCAAUAACACACUGGUUUGGUAACUGCAGCUUUGUAGUAAGUCUUCUAGUCAGGUAGCGUCAGUCCUCCAACUCUGCUCCUCUCCUUCAGUAUUGAAUUGAUUAUUCUGGGUCUUUUGCCUCUCCAUAAAAACUUUAGGAUCAUCUGUUAAUAUCCACAAAAUAACUUGCAGGGAUUUUGAUUGAAAUUGCAUUGAAUCUAUAGAUCAAGCUGGAAGGAACAAACAUGUUGAAAAUACUGAGUCUUCUUAUCCAUAAACAUGGAAUUUUUCUCCAUUUAUUUGGUUCUUCUUUUGUUCAUCAGGGUUUUGUAGUUUUUCUCAUAUAUAUAGAAAGAGUACACUUUUUUUAGACUUGUACCUAAGUAUUUUAUUGUUUGGGGGUGCUAAAGUAGAAGUACUUUGUUUUUAACUUCAAAUCCACUCAUCCAUUGUUGGUAUAUAGGAAAGUGAUUAACUUUUGUAUAUUUUGAAAUCUUGAAUAGUUGUUCAUUAUUCUAGGGGAUUUUCUUGAUCCCUUUUUACACUUUCUACCUGGAAAAUGUCAUUUGUGAACAAAGAGAGUUUGUUUCUUCUUUCAGUAUCAUUAAACUUUAACUUCCUUUUCUUGCCUUGUUCCAUCUGUUAGAGCUUAAAGUGCUGAAAGGAGAUGGUGAGAGCGGAUGUAUGGGCCUUGGUCGUGAUUUUAGUGGGAAAGUUUCUACAUUCUUACUACUGUAUAUCAUGUUAGUUUUGAGGUCCAGUGGACAAGGAAUGGUCAAGUGACACAAAAGGCCUCACCUGAUAUUGCAAGGACUUGCUGACAGUGAGAGCAGAAAACAAUUUCCCAGAUCAAACAAAAAAUAACAUCAGAGUGCUGGGUGCAGUGGCUCACGCCUGUAAUCUCAGCACUGUGGGAGGCUGAGGCGGGCGGAUCACUUGAGGUCGAGAGGUUGAGACCAGGCUGACCAACAUGGAGAAACCCCAUCUCUACUAAAAAUACAAAGUUAGCCAGGUGUGGUGGCGCAUGCCUGUAAUCCCAGCUACUCGGGAGGCUGAGGCAGGAGAAUCGCUUGAACCUGGGAGGCGGAGGUUGUGGUGAGCUGAGAUCAUGCCAUUGCACUCCAGCCUGGGCAACAAGAGUGAAACUCCCUCUCAAAAAAAAAAAAAAAAAAAAAAAAUCAGAGCUCCCUGGGCUGUGGCUUUCUAGAGAGGCUGCUUCCCAGUUUUCCUGCCAGGCACCUGCACUGGCUCUGGCGACUGGCAUUGCAGCCCCUAGUCCAGCUGGAGCCUCAGAGCAGGACCUCCUGUGGAACUGGGGUCUUAGCAGACAUUCUCAGUGAGUGACAUCAAGACCAGGCCAUCCUGGAUUAGGUUGGGCCCUGGACCUGUGGCAGGCGGCCGUGCAGGGUCCUCCCCAGAACCUUUGGAGGGAGCACGCCCAGGAUAUCUCAACGUGGGGCUUCUGGCUGCAAAGCUGCGAGGGCCCCUGUGUGUGAGGCUCACUGAGCAGCCCUGGGAAGGCAGCACCACUGGGCAUUGGGUGCACCAGCGUGGAGGCCCCACAGGCUGGGCCGUGGCACCAUCCUGGGACUCGCCUCCCAUGUGCCCGCACCCUUCCUUGCAGCCCUGCACGGGGCAUCUGAAAGCAGCAUGGCAAAGGGGCACCACCCGCAAUGUGACGCGCAGUCCCGCCAGAGGCCAUGCUCACCUACCCCAGGGCCUCUGAGGGAGUGGCCACUGACCCAGACACAAGGCACCAGGUGGAAACACUGGCACCCAUCUUCAAAAACCACUCUGAAGCCAGCAUUUCCCUUUAUUUCUGGAUGGAAACGGGGCCCUAAAAGCAGAAAUCAAUAUUUUUG
rnacentral:lncRNA from 1 species